CUCUGGUGGGGGGUGGGGGUCUCUGCGUGUGUGUGUCCGGGGGGGGCUGUGUUUCACUAGGUGGCAGUGUCUGAUUACAUCUGGAAGGACCACGCCAGCCAGCCGGGUGUCUCCAGCUGUGACCUCCGGCAGCAGGACGGGAUCCCUGGCGCUGCGGCCAGCUGCAGAGGCAGCACCACUGCCCGCGUCUGCGUCUACACGGUCCAGCUCAGCGGCACCCAGCAGCUCUACAGGCAAUUCCUCAGGCUGCCUGACGGCGCUAUCAUCGAGGCAUUUGGUGAUAUUAGUGAGGAAAGUUUUUCGUGUAAAAUGAACACAGACCAGGGGCAUACAAGGGAAAAGGACAGCGAGCUGUGUACUUCUACACGUAUCAAGCUGAGGGAGAGGAAAAAGAGUACACCAAGUUGGAAAGGUAUUAUUUUCAGUUUCUAUACCUAGAUGA
rnacentral:lncRNA from 12 species